AUUGAACGCUGGCGGCAGGCCUAACACAUGCAAGUCGAACGGUAACAGGGAUCAGCUUGCUGAUUCGCUGACGAGUGGCGGACGGGUGAGUAAUGUCUGGGAAACUGCCUGAUGGAGGGGGAUAACUACUGGAAACGGUAGCUAAUACCGCAUAACGUCGCAAGACCAAAGAGGGGGACCUUCGGGCCUCUUGCCAUCGGAUGUGCUCAGAUGGGAUUAGCUAGUAGGUGGGGUAACGGCUCACCUAGGCGACGAUCCCUAGCUGGUCUGAGAGGAUGACCCGCCACACUGGAACUGAGACACGGUCCAGACUCCUACGGGAGGCAGCAGUGGGGAAUAUUGCACAAUGGGCGCAAGCCUGAUGCAGCCAUGCCGCGUGUAUGAAGAAGGCCUUCGGGUUGUAAAGUACUUUCAGCGGGGAGGAAGGGAGUAAAGUUAAUACCUUUGCUCAUUGACGUUACCCGCAGAAGAAGCACCGGCUAACUCCGUG
rnacentral:rRNA from 1 species